UGGUCUGCGUUGUUGCUCCACCGGUGCAUCCUCCGACUUCCGUUGGUUCGACUGAUUUUGUUUCCGGGAUUGUGAAGCGCCAUGGACUUUUCUGCGGGAAAAAUCGGACAGAGAAAAAAACAAAGCGCAACAAUCCCGGGAAAAGAGAGCACGCACACCAAGACAUUUGCUCAACCGCAUCACAUUCACUAGGAUCGAACAAUUAAUUUCCACGUAUUUAAUCAGCAGAACUAUUUAACGCACAAAAGUUUGGACUUCGCCUCGUCGUCGGCCAUAACCACGGGGAUCAACAAUAGCUGACCGACCGACCGUUCAGAGCUCGCCUAUUCGUCGUAAGCUCGCGCGGGAGAAGCUC